ACGGAAGGCAGCAGUGGGGAAUAUUGCACAAUGGGGGAAACCCUGAUGCAGCGACGCCGCGUGAGUGAAGAAGUAUUUCGGUAUGUAAAGCUCUAUCAGCAGGGAAGAAAGUGACGGUACCUGACUAAGAAGCCCCGGCUAACUACGUGCCAGCAGCCGCGGUAAUACGUAGGGGGCAAGCGUUAUCCGGAUUUACUGGGUGUAAAGGGUGCGUAGACGGCUGGGCAAGUCAGAUGUGAAAGCCCGGGGCUUAACCCCGGGACUGCAUUUGAAACUGUUCAGCUAGAGUGCGGGAGAGGCAGGCGGAAUUCCUAGUGUAGCGGUGAAAUGCGUAGAUAUUAGGAGGAACACCGGUGGCGAAGGCGGCCUGCUGGACCGUAACUGACGUUGAGGCACGAAAGCGUGGGGAGCAAACAGGAUUAGAUACCCUGGUA
rnacentral:rRNA from 1 species